rnacentral:rRNA from 1 species
GACGAACGCUGGCGGCGUGCCUAACACAUGCAAGUCGAACGGGGUAAUGACUUCGGUUAUUACUUAGUGGCGAACGGGUGAGUAACGCGUGAGGAACCUGCCUUUCAGUGGGGGACAACAGUUGGAAACGACUGCUAAUACCGCAUAAUGUAUCGAUGGGGCAUCCUGUUGAUACCAAAGAUUUAUUGCUGAAAGAUGGUCUCGCGUCUGAUUAGCUAGUUGGUGAGGUAACGGCUCACCAAGGCGACGAUCAGUAGCCGGUCUGAGAGGAUGAACGGCCACAUUGGGACUGAGAUACGGCCCAGACUCCUACGGGAGGCAGCAGUGGGGAAUAUUGGGCAAUGGGGGAAACCCUGACCCAGCAACGCCGCGUGAAGGAAGAAGGCCUUCGGGUUGUAAACGUUCUUUACCUAGGACGAAGAACGUAGACGGUACCUGGAGAAAAAGACAACGGCUAACUACGUAG